AACGAACGCUGGCGGCAGGCCUAACACAUGCAAGUCGAGCGAGGACUUCGGUUCUAGCGGCGGACGGGUGAGUAACGCGUGGGAAUGUGCCCUUCUCUACGGAAUAGCCCUGGGAAACUGGGAGUAAUACCGUAUACGCCCUAUUGGGGAAAGAUUUAUCGGAGAAGGAUCAGCCCGCGUUGGAUUAGGUAGUUGGUGGGGUAAUGGCCUACCAAGCCGACGAUCCAUAGCUGGUUGGAGAGGAUGAUCAGCCACACUGGGACUGAGACACGGCCCAGACUCCUACGGGAGGCAGCAGUGGGGAAUCUUAGACAAUGGGGGCAAACCUGAUCUAGCCAUGCCGCGUGAGUGAUGAAGGCCUUAGGGUUGUAAAGCUCUUUCAGCUGGGAAGAUAAUGACGGUACCAGCAGAAGAAGCCCCGGCUAACUCCGUG
rnacentral:rRNA from 1 species